rnacentral:rRNA from 1 species
UGAAGUCCUUCCGGGACGGUAAACUACCUUUCCGAUCGGGACGGAUAAUGACGGUACCGGAAGAAGAAGCCCCGGCUAACUUCGUGC